UCGGGUGGGCACUCUAAAGUGACUGCCGGUGACAAACCGGAGGAAGGUGGGGAUGACGUCAAAUCAUCAUGCCCCUUAUGACCUGGGCUACACACGUACUACAAUGGCCAGUACAACGGGAAGCGAAGUCGCGAGAUGGAGCCAAUCCUAUCAAAGCUGGUCUCAGUUCGGAUUGCAGGCUGCAACUCGCCUGCAUGAAGUCGGAAUUGCUAGUAAUCGCGGAUCAGCAUGCCGCGGUGAAUACGUUCCCGGGUCUUGUACAC
rnacentral:rRNA from 1 species